AUACGUAGGGUGCAAGCGUUAAUCGGAAUUACUGGGCGUAAAGCGUGCGCAGGCGGUUUUGUAAGACAGAGGUGAAAUCCCCGGGCUCAACCUGGGAACUGCCUUUUUGACUGCAAGGCCAGAGUACGGCAGAGGGGGAUGGAAUUCCGCGUGGUGCAGUGGAAUGCGUAGAUAUGCGGAGGAACACCGAUGGCGAAGGCAAUCCCCUGGGCCUGUACUGACGCUCAUGCACGAAAGCGUGGGGAGCAAACAGGAUUAGAUACCCUGGUAGUCCACGCCCUAAACGAUGUCAACUGGUUGUUGGGUCUUCAUUGACUCAGUAACGAAGCUAACGCGUGAAGUUGACCGCCUGGGGAGUACGGCCGCAAGGUUGAAACUCAAAUGAAUUGACGGGG
rnacentral:rRNA from 1 species